CAUAAGCCAUGCAUGUCUAAGUAUAAGUGUUAUACAGCGAAACUGCGAAUGGCUCAUUAAAACAGUUAUAGUUUAUUUGAUAAUCGAAUUUACAUGGAUAACCGUGGUAAUUCUAGAGCUAAUACAUGCUGGUAGGCCCGACUUUUGCGGAAGGGCGGUAUUUAUUAGAUAACAAGCCAAUAUUCCUCUGGUCUAUUGUGGUGACUCAUAAUAACUGAUCGAAUCGCAAGGCCUUUGGCCGCGAUAAGUCAUUCGAGUUUCUGCCCCAUCAGCUUUCGAUGGUAGUGUAUUGGACUACCAUGGCGUUUACGGGUAACGGAGGAUUAGGGUUCGAUUCCGGAGAGGGAGCCUGAGAAACGGCUACCACAUCUAAGGAAGGCAGCAGGCGCGUAAAUUACCCAAUCCUGACUCAGGGAGGUAGUGACAAGAAAUAACGGACCGAGGCCUUCGGGCUUCGGGAUUGGAAUGAGCCGAAUUUACACCCCUUAGCGAAGAUCGAUUGGAGGGCAAGUCUGGUGCCAGCAGCCGCGGUAAUUCCAGCUCCAAUAGCGUAUAUUAAAGUUGUUGCAGUUAAAAAGCUCGUAGUUGGAUUUCUGGGAGGGUGCCGAUGUCCACUUAACGUGUGCGCAGCGGCGCCCUCUCAUCCUUCUGUUAGCGUCUCUUGGCAUUCAUUUGCUGGUGGCGGGCUCAGAUAUUUUACCUUGAGAAAAUUAGAGUGUUUCAGGCAGGCUAGGCCGGAAUACAUUAGCAUGGAAUAAUGGAAUAGGACUACGGUCUCUUUGUUGGUUUGAGGGACUGCAGUAAUGAUUAAUAGGGAUAGUUGGGGGCAUUAGUACUUAACUGUCAGANGUGGAAUUCUCAGAUUUGUUAAAGACUGACUUAUGCNGAAAGCAUUUGCCAAGGAUGUUUUCAUUAAUC
rnacentral:rRNA from 1 species